GCACAGAGUCAGCAUCGCGCGGAGGUAUCAGCGACCGGUCGGUUCCUGAGGGCGCUCGCAGUGGAACCAACCAAUUGGUCGGUAGAUCUGUCAAUCAAUUGCUGACCGUUUAUGAGUUGUAGACUACAGUCCUAUACUAGAAGAAACAGAGAAGAGUCAUGAGUGAUAGAAAAAGGGUGUUUGAAGAAUGAAGUGAUAAAGAUUUUAAAUCCAGUGGCACACCUUUUUAUAAUCCCUCCCCAAAGAUGACUGUUGCUAACCAUUUAGGCAGUGCUUUUGGACAGCACUGUAGCAGGAAUUGGAGGAGUGGAGAAUGGAGAAGAGAGAUGAGGUGGAUGCAGGUAUGAAAGAUAUUAAUGUGAAAGUAAUUUUGUAAGAUGGCUUUGUAGUUUUUGGGCCAGGGUAUUUGGUUUUGUUUAACAUGGUUUAAAAAACAAUAUAAAAUUUAACCCCUUAACCAUUUUAAGUAUACAGUUCAGUAGUCUUAACUAUAUUCAAAUUGAUGUACAGCUGAUCUCUGGAAUUUCUUCAUCUUGCAAACUAAAACUAUACAUGUUGUACAAACUCCCCAUUUCUCCAUUCCCUUACCUCCUGCCAGCCACCGUUCUACUCACUCCUUCUGUAAAUUUGACUACUUUAGAUAACCUCAAAUACAUGCAACCACACAGAAUCAGUCUGCUCAUUUUAUUUAGUAUGAAGUCUUCAAGGUUCAUCUGUGUGGUGGAAUGUAAUGAGAUUUUUUUUUCUUUUUUUAAACCUGAA